GAUUAAGUUAUUAAGGGCGCACGGUGGAUGCCUUGGCACUAGAAGCCGAUGAAGGACGUUACUAACGACGAUAUGCUUUGGGGAGCUGUAAGUAAGCUUUGAUCCAGAGAUUUCCGAAUGGGGAAACCCAGCAUGAGUUAUGUCAUGUUAUCGAUAUGUGAAUACAUAGCAUAUCAGAAGGCACACCCGGAGAACUGAAACAUCUUAGUACCCGGAGGAAGAGAAAGAAAAUUCGAUUCCCUUAGUAGCGGCGAGCGAAACGGGAAGAGCCCAAACCAACAAGCUUGCUUGUUGGGGUUGUAGGACACUCUAUACGGAGUUACAAAGGACGACAUUAGACGAAUCAUCUGGAAAGAUGAAUCAAAGAAGGUAAUAAUCCUGUAGUCGAAAAUGUUGUCUCUCUUGAGUGGAUCCUGAGUACGACGGAGCACGUGAAAUUCCGUCGGAAUCUGGGAGGACCAUCUCCUAAGGCUAAAUACUCUCUAGUGACCGAUAGUGAACCAGUACCGUGAGGGAAAGGUGAAAAGCACCCC
rnacentral:rRNA from 1 species